CGGACGGGUGAGUAACGCGUGAGAAUCUGGCUUCAGGUCUGGGACAACCACUGGAAACGGUGGCUAAUACCGGAUGUGCCGAAAGGUGAAAAGUUAACUGCCUGAAGAUGAGCUCGCGUCUGAUUAGCUAGUUGGUAGAGUAAAAGCCUACCAAGGCGACGAUCAGUAGCUGGUCUGAGAGGACGAUCAGCCACACUGGGACUGAGACACGGCCCAGACUCCUACGGGAGGCAGCAGUGGGGAAUUUUCCGCAAUGGGCGAAAGCCUGACGGAGCAAUACCGCGUGAGGGAGGAAGGCUCUUGGGUCGUAAACCUCUUUUCUCAGGGAAGAACACAAUGACGGUACCUGAGGAAUAAGCAUCGGCUAACUCCGUGCCAGCAGCCGCGGUAAUACGGAGGAUGCAAGCGUUAUCCGGAAUGAUUGGGCGUAAAGCGUCCGCAGGUGGCAAUGUAAGUCUGCUGUUAAAGAGUCUAGCUCAACUAGAUAAGAGCAGUGGAAACUACAUAGCUAGAGUACGUUCGGGGCAGAGGGAAUUCCUGGUGUAGCGGUGAAAUGCGUAGAGAUCAGGAAGAACACCAGUGGCGAAGGCGCUCUGCUAGGCCGUAACUGACACUGAGGGACGAAAGCUAGGGGAGCGAAUGGGAUUAGAUACCCCAGUAGUC
rnacentral:rRNA from 1 species